GCUUGCUCUCUUACCUCUUACUUCUCAUUCUCUUACUUCUUAGCCCUCACUCUCACCCCCUCUUCUCUCUCUUUGUCUUCUCCUCUCCCCUCUCACUCUCUUUCUCUCUAGCCUUUCCCCUCUCUCUGUCUCUCUCUGUCUCUCUCUCUCUCCUCUCUCUCCAUUCUCUCUUUCUCCCUGCCUUUCUACAAUAAUGCUCUAAAACCAUAGAUAGUCUCUGCUCUAAUCAAGAUCCGCUGGGCUCACUAUCAUCUGUGUUGGGAACCUCUUCCCUCACCCUUCUCUCCCAUAUCCCCAGUGGCUUUAGGAAAGUAGCAGCACUGGGGCUCCCAGAUAGGGCUGCCUCUUGCCACCCCAUGAAGAGUGGGUCAGAGGCUUAGAAGCCCACCCAGGGAUGAGUGGAAGGUAGAUAGCAGCCCCCCCAACUUCUGACUGACCAGAGAACAGGUGGAACUCUGGCAGGGUGUAGGUCUUCCCCUUCCCCUUCUUCCCCAGGGCCCCCUUUUUUGUUCCCAACAAGUGGUAGCAGAGUAUGGUUACGCCAUCCUCGAGAGACAGACCCAUCUGAAGAACGCUUUGUACAUAGACCUACAUCAGAUCUCCAAGUUUCCCAAGACAGUGAGUAAUCUAGUUCAAAAACUAGGCUUUUUACUUUCUCUCUCUCUCUCCAAAGUGUUCCUGGUAAGCUUCCUCCUCCUCCCCCCUCUCUCUCAGGUUUCAGCCAUAAGAAGCUGGUCUCCCCAGCGCUGUAGUCUCUCCCCACCCCCACCCCCACCCCUAGUCCUAGGCUUUGAAUGGCUCUGUGGGCUGCAGCAGCCCACCAUGCAGUAAUUGCUCUGAGCUCUGUUUUCCUCUGCCAGCUGGUGUGAGGUCCCCUUCCCAGUCUCUGUUACAGGUUUCAUCUAAAAGUAAGUUGGUUUUCCAACUCUGUAGCCCUUCCUCACUUGCUCUCGGCUUUGAUGUGUGUGUUAAUGCCUAGCUAGGUGAUGCGUGCUCUAAACUAUUUUUCUCCUCUGAACUCUGUUGCUCUAUAUUCUGCCCCUCUCUCCCUGCCAUAGUUGCUCGCUAAAGUGCGGCCCACACCGAGAGAUUCGGGCCCUGCCCCAUACAGUGGAGUCCCAAAAUGGGCCAAGGGCCAGCAGACAAAGAAACAAAGACCGGGGCAGGAGGCGGGCUAUGGGCUGCGGGCUGCGGGCUGUGGGCUGCGGGCUGUGGACUGUGGACUGUGGACUAAAGUGGGGAACGGGUGGGCGGGGCAAAAGAGCCAAGGCAGGCACAGCGUGGGGGGCGGGGCGGACAGCACUUAGGCUAAAAAGCCUUUUACUUUCUGCCUUUGUAGAAAAAAUUCAGGAGGAAGAAAGGUUGCAGGGUACAAAGUACCCUUACCCCCAAUCCAGAUAAGCCCACAAAAGCUGCAUUGAAGCUGUGCUACCCCACAGGAAUACCUGAAUCGUGUUUUGUCAAUCCAAAAAUUUUCUUGCUUCUUUCUCUAAAUACUUUUUUUCCCACUCUCUAGAUUCAUGAUAUAUGUCCAAAAAGUCUUUCACCUUGUUUAAGAUUUCCUUUAAGUUUCAAAAAUCAACCAAUCCUUAAUUAAUAACCAGUUUCCUUUUACAGAAGAACUGUUAAUGGCCUACCCCAGUUACACAAUUAACAUGAUAUUUUUCUUCCUUAGCCACCCACAAUGGACCGUGAUGUGCUCCUAAGCAAACCAUUGCAGGCAUAACUUUUGCUAUCCACCCUAUCUAUCUCUACAAGGGGCCUGCUGCCACAGAGCCAUCUGAGACAGUGCCAUCUCCUGGGACCUACAGACAACAACAGCUGCUUUCCUCCAAAAAUCUCAUCUGACUGAGGGCUCCUGAGACAAGCGCUGAACCAAAGAAGACAGACUUGGGACCUUCCAGCAACAGAUGGACUCUUUUUGCCAACGCAACUGACUGCUGAG
rnacentral:lncRNA from 1 species